rnacentral:rRNA from 1 species
ACAUGCCUACAACAUAGUGUUAAUGCAUCGGAUGCCAUUAGAACUCCAUAGUUAAGCGCGCUUGGGAUAGAGUAGCAUGUGGAUGGGUGACCGCCCAGGAAGUCCUAGUAUUUUACAUGCC